rnacentral:rRNA from 1 species
UGUGCAAUCUGCCCUUCACAUCGGAAUAACCAUUGGAAACGAUGGCUAAUACCGAAUAUGACUUCGGAUCGCAUGAUCUGAAGUGGAAAGCUCCGGCGGUGAAGGAUGAGCUCGCGGCCUAUCAGCUUGUUGGUGAGGUAAUAGCCCACCAAGGCGACGACGGGUAGCCGGCCCGAGAGGGUGACCGGCCACACUGGGACUGAGACACGGCCCAGACCUCUACGGGAGG